UGGACAUUCAGGUCAGGUAUUGAGAGACCUAAGAAAGUCAACACUAGUUGACGCACUGAGGUUUUUAGGCACACACUCUAAAACUCAUCCCACACCAUGCCGUCAGGAAUGACACUCGGAAUGUGGAAGCGACUGAGGGCCGGGUACAUCUAAAUAGCCUAAAUGGGCUUCCUCUCCUUGUGUCCUUACUGAGAGAGAGAGAGAGAGAGAGAGAGAGAGAGAGAGAGAGAGAGAGAGAGAGAGAGAGAGAGAUUAAGGGAAUGAGAGAGAGAGGAGAGGAAGAGACAGAGCUCGAAAGAGAGAGUGCGAAAGAAAAAGGGAGAUAAAGGAGAUAAAGGAAGAGAAACAGAUAUCGAAAGAUCGAGAGAGAAGAAGAGAAAUAGAGAGCUGUUCUGGCCACUCAUCUCUUCAGCUGUUGACUUGGAUGACUUCACACCACUGAUCUCAUUGGCCCAAACACACGGCUAUGGUUACACACACUGACAUCCGGCCUGGAUGGGGGGUCCAGCUGCCAACCACCACCCACCCAAUACCAUGGAAGACGGAAAGUUGAAACAACGUUGGCAUUGGAAAUUCUGCUCAGAGGACACAUUAGAUGGUUCAAUGAGAAUGACACACACAUUAAUGGACACAUAUGCACGCACGGAUGCACGCACGCACGAACACACACACACACACAUAAAGGAGGGGAUAGAGAGGUGGACUUACUGGAGGGGGAAGCGCAGGACAGGGUGGAGGUCUGGGCAGGACCCCAUUCCUUCAUGUUGUAGGCAGACACCUGGACAUAAUAUUCCCAUCGAGUGCCUCCGCAGCUGACCAUAACUCACUGAGGCCAGGCCCAACAUCAGGUUUCCUUGACCCCUCGAUGAACUACAGCUAUUACAGCAUGACCCAACAGCCACUUCCAUCUCCAUGUCUCUAUGCAUCCCUUCGCGUCUGUGUUGCAGUGUGUAUGUGUUUCUAUUGCCAUCUCUAUGUGUGCAAGCGUCCCUAUGUAUCAUGCAUCCCAGUGUGUGUGGGAGGCUCCCAUCCCAUGUCUACAACAGCCUACCACCACAAGUAACAUGACACAUGGUCUUGCUGUGGAACCAGCCUGCCCUCCCCUUUUCAGCCAGAUCAAUCAGG
rnacentral:lncRNA from 13 species